rnacentral:rRNA from 1 species
AUGUCGACCGGCCGAAUAUGGAGGUCUUGGGGGGUGCUAAACACUCAAAAAAUUGCAAGGGCACUUCGCUUGCGUUGGCUUUGGUUCGAAUGGAAGGAACCCACCAAGCUAUGGGUUGGGACCGGCAACCCAUGCGACGAGAUGGACAAAAAUCUUGUCUAUGCUUCAACGAGCAUAAUCGUUGGCAACGGUGCGCGCACGCCCUUCUGGGACUCCCCUUGGGUGCGGGACCGCAAUCCAAGAGACAUCGCACCGCUUAUCUGUGCCGCUUCCUCUCGGAAGACAUGGAAUGUUGGGGAAGCCCUCCAGGAUGAUGCUUGGCGUCACAAGAUCAAGGUCACUCCCAACUUCACCUUCGAACAUGUUCGACAAUUUAUUGAGCUUUGGUCCACCAUCCGCGACUUCCCUCUUGAGGUGCACGCCGAAGACGACAUUGUGUGGAAACACACAGAGAGCGGGAUUUACAGUGCCAAGUCCGCCUACUUGUCCCAGUUUUUUGGCAUGAUCCGCUCACCCAUGGAGCUUGCAGUGUGGAAGGCCUGGGCCCCGCCCAAGGUCAAAUUUUUCGCGUGGUUGGCCAUGCAAAAUAGGGUAUGGACUGCUGACCGGUUGGCAAACCGGGGGUGGCCCAAUUGUGGGCUUUGUCCUAUUUGCAAGCGCGUGUAA